UUAGAAACUGUGGUGUUUGUACUGUUGCUAACAGUACAGAUGUUAGGCAAAGAGCCUACGACUGCACCUCGUGGCCCCUGGGCUCCCCAAGCGCUUGGUGCCACUGCAGUGCCCUCAAGCCUGUGACCCAGGCUGCUUCAGCUUCUGAUGAGCCUACAUGCACGUUCACGCACUUUGAAGACACAGAAUUCUAGAAAGCAGCCCGAACACUGCGGCCAUAAGCUUCUAUGCCAGCUCGUUCAAGGGGGUCCCAGGAGGGGCCAGGAGACUGGCCGGCGUCUCAGCUUCCUACGUCCGCAUGGGCAACUCUGAUUCCACCCGUGGUGUGUCGCAAAGGGCCUCCUGAUUGGGCCUCAUGCCAAACAACUUGUUACAAAAAGAGCUUGGGUCCCAGACUGCACUGAAGCUUCAUGAGACCUCUCCUCAUCUACACCAGUGAGUGGCCGACUCUGGAGCCCAGGCUGUUGCUUACGGGUCUGGUGGUGAAUUCUCCAUAGUCUGUGGUUGCCCUGGAGUUUGCAAUACACAUUGAUAACGAAUCCAUGCCCAUCUUCACAGAACAUGAUAUCACUUUACAGUGUAUAAGUAACUGCUGAAGUUUCAAAAUGUCUGUUUACCAUAUUUAAGUUUUG